GCGGAGGAAAAGAAACCAACAGGGAUUGCCUCAGUAACGGCGAGUGAAGCGGCAACAGCUCAAAUUUGAAAUCUGGCUCUUUCAGGGUCCGAAUUGUAAUUUGCAGAGGAUGCUUUGGGUGCGGGCGCCUUCCGAGUUCCCUGGAACGGGACGCCAUAGAGGGUGAGAGCCCCGUCUGGUAGGAUGCCCAGCCCGUGUAAAGCUCCCUCGACGAGUCGAGUAGUUUGGGAAUGCUGCUCUAAGGGGAGGUAUACUCCUUCCAAAGCUAAAUACCGGCUGGAGACCGAUAGCGCACAAGUAGAGUGAUCGAAAGAUGAAAAGCACUUUGAAAAGAGAGUCAAAUAGCACGUGAAAUUGUUGAAAGGGAAGCGCUCGCUACCAGACUUGGGUACGCGGUUCCGUAGGUGCUCCGCACCUGCGUACUCCUCGUGCCCAGGCCAGCAUCAGUUCUUCGUCGGGUUAAAAGGCUUCGGGAAUGUGGCUCGCCUCGGUGAGUGUUAUAGCCCGUUGUGUCAUGCCCGGKGGGGGACUGAGGUACGCGCUCCGCAAGGAUGCUGGCGUAAUGGUAGCUAGUGACCCGUCUUGAAACACGGACCAAGGAGUCAACCUUAUGUGCAAGUGCCCGGGCGUAAAACCCCAGCGCGGAAUGAAAGUGAACGUAGGUGAGAGCUUCGGCGCAUCACCGACCGAUCCUGAUGUCCUCGGACGGAUUUGAGUGUGAGCAUAUAGGGUUGGACCCGAAAGAAGAUGAACUAUGCGUGUGUAGGGUGAAGCCAGAGGAAACUCUGGUGGAGGCUCGCAGCGGUUCUGACGUGCAAAUCGA
rnacentral:misc_RNA from 1 species